AGACUGUACGUACCUUGCAGAGCCUUAAG
rnacentral:piRNA from 1 species